GUAAAGACAAAGGGGUGCCCAAAAGGCUGAGAUUAUACCCUAAUAACCUGAUACAGUUAGCACUGGCGUAGGGAUUGUGUUUCUUCUUAUC
rfam:Bacteroides faecichinchillae strain DSM 26883 genome assembly, contig: Ga0131157_101